ACAGGGAUUGCCCUAGUAACGGCGAGUGAAGCGGCAACAGCUCAAAUUUGAAAUCUGGCGUCUUUGGCGUCCGAGUUGUAAUUUGCAGAGGGCGCUUUGGCAUUGGCAGCGGUCCAAGUUCCUUGGAACAGGACGUCACAGAGGGUGAGAAUCCCGUACGUGGUCGCUAGCCUUUACCGUGUAAAGCCCCUUCGACGAGUCGAGUUGUUUGGGAAUGCAGCUCUAAAUGGGAGGUAAAUUUCUUCUAAAGCUAAAUACUGGCCAGAGACCGAUAGCGCACAAGUAGAGUGAUCGAAAGAUGAAAAGCACUUUGGAAAGAGAGUUAAAAAGCACGUGAAAUUGUUGAAAGGGAAGCGCUUGCAGCCAGACUUGCCUGUAGUUGCUCAUCCGGGUUUCUACCCGGUGCACUCUUCUACGGGCAGGCCAGCAUCAGUUUGGGCGGUUGGAUAAAGGUCUCUGUCAUGUACCUCUCUUCGGGGAGAACUUAUAGGGGAGACGACAUGCAACCAGCCUGGACUGAGGUCCGCGCAUCUGCUAGGAUGCUGGCGUAAUGGCUGUAAGCGGCCCGUCUUGAAACACGGACCAAGGAGUCUAACAUCUAUGCGAGUGUUUGGGUGUCAAGCCCGAGCGCGUAAUGAAAGUGAACGGAGGUGGGAACCUUUCGGGGUGCACCAUCGACCGAUCCUGAUGUCUUCGGAUGGAUUUGAGUAAGAGCAUAGCUGUUGGGACCCGAAAGAUGGUGAACUAUGCUUGAAUAGGGUGAAGCCAGAGGAAACUCUGGUGGAGGCUCGCAGCGGUUCUGACGUGCAAAUCGAUCGUCAAAUUUGGGCAUAGGGGCGAAAGACUAAUCGAACUAUCUAGUAGCUGGUUCCUGCCGAAGUUUCCCUCAGGAUAGCAGUAACGUUUUCAGUUUUAUGAGGUAAAGCGAAUGAUUAGAGGCCUGGGGGUUGAAACAACCUU
rnacentral:rRNA from 1 species